rnacentral:lncRNA from 11 species
CUGUAAGAGAGCAUUCGGGCUCCUGCCUAUCGGGCGCAGUCAACGGCUCUUUCCCAUUUAGCACCAGAAAAGCCGCGGGGAGGGGGGAGUUAUUAGAGCUAGCCAAUGAGAAUCCCGGAAUCUGAGGCGCUGCGUUACGAUUGGUCGGAAGAAGAAGCGGCGCAACGCCCAACGGGGAAGAAGGCGGAGACCGUCGGCGGGAAAUUAAAAUGGCGUUGAUCGCCUUCCAACAACUGAGGGAUUUGGUCGAGGCCCAGCAGGUGUUGCUGGACGGGCUGAGGCGGCAGAUAGCAGUACAGGAAGAGAAUUCAGUCAGCAAGGUAGAAUAUGAAGCUAUUGUAAAAAAAUUAGAGGUACAUAUUCUUCCAUUUUUAUUUUUUGAUAUUUUUAAUCAUAAUUUGUAGAGAAACUAGCUGUGCCUGGCCAAGCGUUGCUGUGGCGUAGUCCUAAGUGGAGUUUUCU